rnacentral:lncRNA from 1 species
UUCCCCAGGCUUUUCCCAUCUCCAUCCUAUUCUCUCGCAGGCAGGUUUUUCUUCCGCCUCUCUGGGGAUUUUCGCGUUGGUUCUCCCUGCCCCCAGGAGUGAGGCGGGUAACGCCCACGCCUACCUCCGGUGCUGGGGGAAAAGAUUACUUCCCAGAUGCAGUAUUUACAUCUCCUCCGCCCUACUCUUCCAACCCUGCCUGAAAUAAGUGUGGUUCUCCUGUCUGUCAGACUAUGAAGAGUUCUCAAAUAUGUCUUUCCCAGCGAGGGAGAGGAGAGUGAGUAUCCAGGAACUUUAAUGCGAUAGGACAUCAAUAUGAGUGUUUAUAGGGAAAGCCAGUGAUCCUAUUGUUAGACGCGAAAUCAAGACAUAUGAUCUGAUUUUUUGUUUUACUUUUUGUUUUUGAGGUAUAACAUUCAGUAAAGCGCACAAAUCAAAAGUG